rnacentral:rRNA from 1 species
UGCAUAUCCAAAAAGCGGAGGAAAAGAAACUAACAAGGAUUCCCCUAGUAACUGCGAGUGAAGCGGGAAAAGCUCAAAUUUAAAAUCUGGUGGUCUUUGGCCAUCCGAGUUGUAAUCUAGAGAAGUGUUAUCCGCGCUGGACCGUGUACAAGUCCCCUGGAAUGGGGCGUCAUAGAGGGUGAGAAUCCCGUCUUUGACACGGACUACCAGGGCUUUGUGAUGCACUCUCAAAGAGUCGAGUUGUUUGGGAAUGCAGCUCAAAAUGGGUGGUAAAUUCCAUCUAAAGCUAAAUAUUGGCGAGAGACCGAUAGCGAACAAGUACCGUGAGGGAAAGAUGAAAAGAACUUUGGAAAGAGAGUUAAACAGUACGUGAAAUUGUUGAAAGGGAAACGCUUGAAGUCAGUCGCGUCUGCCAGGGAUCAACCUUACUUUUGUGAGGCGUACUUCCUGGUUGAUGGGUCAGCAUCAGUUUUGGUCGCUGGAUAAAGGUCAGAGAAAUGUGGCACCUUCGGGUGUGUUAUAGUCUUUGAUCAGAUACAGUGGCUGGGACUGAGGAACUCAGCGCCGCAAGGCUGUCUUAGGAUGCUGGCAAAAUGGCUUUAAUCGACCCGUCUUGAAACACGGC